ensembl:lncRNA
UUACAAACUUCGUUGACAAGGGCGUUCGGCUGAAUGAGCCUCGAGAGCCCCCUGUAGGAACACAUUUUCCACAAUUUUAUCCCUGCUCCCCACAGAUGCUAUUGGACCUUAUGGCGAGGCAUACUGAUGCCAAAAAUUUGCGUAAUUUGAGUAAAUACAAAAACGUCUGUGAAAACAGAAAAGGCGUUGAUUUCAGGUCGUUCACCUUGACUAAAACUGCUGUUACAGUGAAUAACGUUAAACCCAGAGACGCUCCUCUAAAACUUCGACAUCAUUGGACACAGGCCUUUCUCUCUUAACUCAGAUGUAUGUGGUGGCCUUCUGUUGCAGUGGGGUGAUACUAGCACAGGUGCUGAUGUACUGGAAUAAAUAUAUGACAAACAGCGAGAAAGAAGGACAAGAGGAGAAAGACAAGGCUGAAUAAAAGAGAUAUCAUUUUACUUUCCUGGAUUUACACUUCAGAAUGUGUGUGUGCACUCCUGGAAAAGAGGUUGUGAAUCAUUAAAUGUCUCGUGAAACAUUUGUAAUUUCACUUUUCAGUCCUAAGAUGUGAUUUCAUUCCUGUCUAUUUAUUUAUGCUAUACACUGCACAUUUUUUUCUGUAAUAAAGUAUAAUUCUGAUCAUUAAAAC